rnacentral:lncRNA from 1 species
GCACAUUUUAAGUUCUCUCUCAAGUUUAGAUAUAACUGUUAUAAUUUAAAGCUUGCUCUAGACCUAAACUUGUGGGAUGAAAACUUGAUCUGAAGUCUAAGUUGUUAACGGAUAUGAUAUGGGAAGGUUGAGCUGCUGUUUAUCUGUUCCUAGAGAUGCUAGAAUUCUGGAGAAUUUUAUCUUUGAAAAUCUUUAAAAUGUUGCAUGAUGAGUUCCUGUAUGAUGAGAGUUUAAAUUCCUAUCACAGCCAUAUAUACAUGCUUGUUAGACUUUGAGCCACACAUUUAUUAUUUACUGCUUAUGAGCAUUGAGUGACGGUUACAAGUCCCAUGGUGAAGGUAAAGUAAGUAAGUUUUAAGUCUUGACAGUUUACUCUAACUCAGAGAUGAGAUCUUAUUUAAAAGCAUGUGUACCGUCAAAUUUUUAAAGAUAUUGCAACUACUUAUGAUCCAUAGCUGAGUCUAUCCUUGCUCAGGGACGAGCAAGAGGUAAGCUUGGGGGAGUUUGUUGACGGUCCUUAAGUAUCAAAUUUAAUUAUCAAAUAAAUAAAGAAAAGGAUCCAAAUGAAAUCAAGAUCCAGACUUAGGGUUUUAUCUGAUAGAAUUCCACGAGUUUUGGUGUUUGUCUAUUUCUGCAGGGGGUUAUCAGGAAAUAUGGAGGAAAGGCCCACAUGUCGGGAUUACGUAAAGAUAUUAACGUGCUGCGCAAUUAUCUUACAUCUAGAAGACUCCAGAAGCCACGAGACCAAAGCGGAGGCAAAACGGGGCCAGAGACAGGGUGCCCGCCCUGUCUUACUGGGCGCACGCCCUGCCCCUGAGUCCAAUCAGGACUCUGCUUUGCGGGAGAUUUCCACCGACCUAAAGGAUGAAUCUAAACCAUACAAUCUAUGUCGGUUUGAUCCAAUGGCCCAUAUUCACUUGAAGGGACUAUAAAACCAGACCCCCUGGCCCCUGGAGGAGAGAGCCUCUCAACCCUAAUUCAUUGUUCCAUCAAGGGAGAAGAAACCUCUGAUCAAGAUUAGAGCCACCACAUCAAUUAGACAUCUAGAUUAGCAUAGCUACAUAGGAUUAGAACUAGAAGGAGUCAGUCUUCGAUUGGUUUCCGGAUCUGUCAGGAGGAUUCUUGGUAAUUCUCUAAUUGUGCUUCUAAUUGCUUUCUAAUUAUCUUUGUUCUUCAAUAUUAUGAAUAUGACUUUGUUCUACUUCAAUAUAUUGCUUAUGACUUUGCUCUACUUGCUUAUAUUCAAGAUUAUAUUGUUCUUAGUUUAUCAUAGUUAUGUACUUGGCUUAGUUAGAUUUGAUCUAUAUACAUGCUUAGGAUCGUAUAGCGUUUAUCCAUCGGAUCCAUGAGUAAAUGAUAGAUAUUGUGUAGGCGUGGUGCUUAUACCGUAUUUAUCUGCGAUUGUACCCAAUAUGCCAGAUCGUGGGGUGGUUCGUGAUAGUGACAGCUUCAUUGAUUCUUAUAUAGUCCCCCUCUCGUGUAUUGGGCUGGCAGAGCAACAUUAUUACAGGGGAGUGAUUGCUAUGUUUCUCAUAUUCCUUGCUAAUAUCACUAUGCAUGGGCGUAGUCUUGUCUCGCAAUGAUUGCUAAGUAUGCUUGCACUAACUAUGAUAUGCUAGACUAUAUAGUUAAGAAUAACUUAGGGAAUAUUCUUGUAGUUCAUUCUAAUACCAUGCUAAUGACUUUCUAGAGUAUCUAAUUGAGGUGCUUAUCAUAUUUAUUAUGUGGCUAGAUCAGAUUAGUUAUCCUUGUCACUAUUAUUAUUUCAUAUAUCUUUUAUGUGACACUUAUCCCUGUAUGAAGAGUUAGAUAUAAUGUUCUCAAUUAUACAUGCAAUGAUAGAUGCUCAAUCUCAUAUUCUAUUCUGUAAUCAAUAGUGAUGAUUGCUAAUCCCUUCCCAGUGGUAAAAAUAUAAAUAAUGAUACCUGGAAUACUUCCCGGUUAAAAUGCUACAUCGGUAUUAAUCUGUGCGCUUGCAGAUCCCAUUCAUUAUUUAUUUAGAAGAGCAAUUGCAUAUUUCAAUACCACGUCUCUUAUAUCAUGCUGGGGAUGACAACUUGGCUUAAGUGGUGUGAGGGAUAGGUUUGGCAUUUUUGGCACCGUUACUAGAUUUAGAGAACUUAGUCUACUUUUGGUAAUGAUGUUAAGAAUACCCAACAGUCUGCUUGCAAGACUUCCAGGAAACAGCGCCACCUCCAAGCAGGAACAUAUAUCCACUUGUGGCAUAAAGCUCAUCAGCAUCAGAGAUCCAGUUGGCAUCACAAUAGCCUUUUAGCACUCUAGGUUGUCCGGUAUAACGAAUACCGUAGGUCAUAGUACCUUUAAGAUAACGCAAUACUCUCUCAAGAGCACACCAAUGAUCAUCCCCCGGGUUUGAUACAAACCGACUUAGCUUGCUCACAGCAUAAGAGAUGUCAGGCCUUGUCGCACUCGCAAGGUACAUCAGUGAACCAAUGAUCUGGGAGUAUGUCAAUUGAUCCGUUGCUAUUCUCUUAUUUUUCCUUAAUAGCACACUAGGGUCAUAAGGAGUAGGUGCAGGAUCACAGUCACUAAACCCAAAGCCACUUAGAACCUUUUCCACAUAGUGGGACUGUAACAAAAUUACCCCACCAUCACCUUCCUUUAUAAGCUUGAUGUUGAGAAUUACAUCAGCUUCUCCCAUAUCUUUCAUUUCAAAGUUGCUCGUCAACAAUUUCUUUACUUCCUCAAUCACAUUGAUGUUUGAUCCAAAGAUCAAAAUGUCAUCGACAUAAAGGCACAGCAUUACAGCCUCACCCCCACCAUACCGAUAAUACACACAAGUAUCAGCCUCAUUUACAGAGAAACCGGCAGAUGUCAAAGUAUUGUCAAACUUUUCAUGCCAUAGCUUAUGUGCUUGUUUCAGGCCAUAUAAUGAUUUUAAUAGCCUGAAAGAGCAUCUAGGCCCCUAGUGAUUUCGGUGAUUAAUGACAUUAUUGAUUACUAUGACUAACGUGUGUUUUGCAGAGGCAAAGUCAUAGGUAAGGUCAUGGUAAAUAGGUACUCGAUGGACAGGGACGUACAUGCCUACUUAAUAGUGGAAAUCGUUUCGGUUUUCAAAGGAUGGAUGGACAUCGUCAAGACUAGACUAGGUCUAAGUGACAUAUGGUGAAGAAGGGCACUUAGAGUAGUUUAGGACUUUGUUUUCCUUUGACCGUACUAUUAAGAGGGGCUUUGAUCUAGUAGCUUGACUUAGGCAAGGCUUUAGGUUUAGGUGUGGUGCACACUUGGUAAACCUAGCACUAGGCAGCUCAGAGAUAGUCCUUAGAUCGAGAGGAACCAACUUCGUUUUGGAGCGAUCGUGUUUCGACGAAGUUUGGGUGCCCAUAGAGGCACCGGACGCUGCACCGGACGCUCUAUGAGUGCGUCCGGUGAGGUCCUUAGCCGUUGGAACAGUGCCGUGCUUAGGAUUAGGCACCGGACGCUAGCACCGGACGCACCGGGUAGCGUCCGGUCCCAUACCCAGGGAGGUUGCAAGCCUUCCCUGAGCACCGGACGCACCGGGUAGCGUCCGGUCCCAUGCGCAGGGAGCUUGUAAAGUUUCCCCGAACACCGGACGGUGCACCGGACGCUGGAAGUUAGCGUCCGGUGACCUGUCAGAGAGAAGUACAGUUAGCCAUUAUGAAGCACUGGACGCUCGGUGCAGUGCGUCCGGUGCAACAUAAUGUGCGUCUGGUGACCCCGUUUUCAGUGGAAAACGGUUGGCCGACCUUUGGACUUCGUGGAUAGUAUUUAUACUCCACCUCAUCCAUGACAGGUCUCUUGCCCAUUUGAACAUCAGAGAAACUUGUUGUGGAGCAAGAGAGUUGCAAGAGCCUAGAGAGGAUUGAGUUUUUGAGUGAUUUCUUGAGAGAAUCCUUCUCUAGUGAGUUCCAAGAGUCAAGUGUGCAUCCACCACUCUCUAGAGCCUUGAUUGGGUCAAGUGAGAGUUCUUUGCUUGUUACUCUUGGUGAUCGCCAUCACCUAGACGGUUUGGUGGUGAUUGGAGGCACGAAGACCGCCCGGAGUUCUUGUGGGUGGCUCAUGUCAAGCUUGUGAGCGGUUUUGGGCGAUUCACCGCGACGGAGUGUCGAAGAAUCAGCUCGUAGAGAGCACUUGGUCCUUGCGCGGACCAAGGGGGAGCAAGACCCUUGCGCGGGUGCUCCAAUGAGGACUAGUGGAGACUGGCGACUCUCCGAUACCUCGACAAAACAUCGCCGAGCACUUUCUUCCACUACUCCUUUACAUUCUAGCAUUUACUUUGUGUUUUUACAUUCUUAGAAUUGCCAUGCUAGAAUAGGAUUGGAACUAGGUUGCAAAACUUUUUAUCCGGUAGCUCUCUAGGUCACACUAGGCACAAGGGGUUAAAUUGGAGCUUAUAGGUUGCUUAAAUUUUUAGAGAAGCCCAAUUCACCCCCCCUCUUGGGCAUCUUGAUCCUUUUCAAUUGGUAUCAGAGCCUAGUGCUCAUUAUUUAGGCUUCACCGCCUAGAGAAAAGAUGUCUAACGGGGAUGGACCGCCACCCAUGUUCGAUGGGGAUGACUUCCCGUAUUGGAAAAUACGGAUGGAGUCAUACCUUGAGGCAUGCGAUGUAAAGUGCCUAAAAUCCGCGACCGAAGGGUUUACCCCUCCGGCAAAAGACGCCGCUCUUAUUGCACAAGAGCAAGAAAACGAGAAGUGGAAUGUGAAGGCCAAAAACCACAUCUUUAGAGGCCUUUGCAAAGAGGUGUUCAACCGCGUUCGGAGCCACAAAACCGCCCAUGAACUUUGGAAGGAACUUUGUGCGCUCCAUGAGGGAUCAAAGAGUGAACGCGAGGAAUGCUAUCACUUAGUGAUGAACAAGCUUAAUACAUUUGAGAUGCUUCCUAAAGAGAAUGCUAAUGAAAUGUAUUCUCGCUUGAAUGUCAUUGUAGAGGAGCUAAAUGGACUUGGGCUCACUCAAAUGAUGCGGCGGAUGUAGCAAGGAAGAUACUAUGUGUGCUUCCCAUUGAGAAAUAUGGGCACAUAGUAACCGUACUCCAUUAAGGGGAUCUUUCCACCGCUACACCAACCGCCAUAUUGGGGAAGAUCAAUGCUCAUGAGAUGUACAUGCACAUGAACCCCCAAGAUGGCUCCUCAUCGGCCAAGAAGGAGAAGAAGGACUUGGCUCUCAAAGCUUCUCACAAGGGCAAAGCCAAGAAGAUUGAAGUUGAGUCAUCAACUUCAAGUGAUGAUGAUGCAUCUAUUGCCCUCUUGGUGAGAAGAACCACAAAGAUGUUGAAGAAGCUCAACAAGAAUGGAGUCAACAUUGAUUCCAAGAAGAAGAAGUUCUUCACAAGUAGCAAGAGGAAGCCCAUCUCCGAGAUGGAUUGCUACAAUUGUGGUGAGCUUGGUCAUCUUGCUCAUCAAUGUCCAAAGCCCAAGAAGGACAAGUACAAGAAGAAGAACAAAGAGCAAGAUGACUCAAGUGAUGAUGAGAAGAAUGACAAGAAGCAAUACAAGAAGAAAGGUGGCAAGAAGAAGGAGCACUACAAGAAGAAAAAUGGCAAGGCUUACAUUGUUGGUGAUUGGCUCACCGACAUUGAGAGCUCAAGUGGUGACUCCUCCGGCAAUGAAAGUGAUGAUGAGAAGGUUGCCGCCAUUGCCAUCGAUGCUCCAUCACCAUCAUCCUCACCACCAUCUACAUCCUCUACACACCUAUGCCUCAUGGCUAAGGGUGACCGGAAGGUGAACUACAAGACUGGUGGAUCACAUUGGGUAAUUGAUAGUGGUUGCACUCAACAUAUGACCGGAGAUCCCCAGAUGUUCACCUCUCUUGAUGAAGAUGUGACAACCAAGAGAAGAUCACAUUUGGUGACAAUUCAAAAGGGAAAGUCAAGGGACUAGGAAAGGUUGCUAUAUCAAAUGACAACUCCAUCACCAAUGUGCUCUAUGUGCAAUCUUUGAGUUUCAACUUGCUCUCGGUUGGACAACUUUGUGAUCUAGGAUUUGAAUGCCUAUUCAAGAAGAAGGAAGUAAUUGUGACCAAGGAAGAAGACAAUGAAGUGAUAUUCAAGGGCUUCCGACACAACAACUUAUAUGUAGUUGAUUUCUCAUCCGAUGAAGUUGAUGUAAAGACUUGCUUAUUCACCAAGACUUCGCUUGGGUGGUUGUGGCAUAGAAGGUUAGCACAUGUUGGAAUGGGCACACUCAAGAAGUUAAUGAAGAAAGAAUUGAUUAGAGGCUUGAAGGAUGUAACAUUUGAAAAGGACAAGCUUUGUAGUGCAUGUCAAGCGGGCAAACAAGUUGCAAACACUCAUCCAACCAAAGCCUAUCUCUCUACUUCAAGAGUGCUUGAGCUACUUCACAUGGAUUUGUUUGGACCAACCACAUAUGCUAGUCUUGGAGGCAACAAAUAUUGCUUGGUCAUAGUUGAUGAUUUCUCCCGGUACACUUGGACAUUCUUCUUGCAAGACAAGGCCGAAGUUGCAUCAAUAUUCAAGAAGUUUGCAAAGAAUGCCCAAAAUCAAUUUGAUGUGAAGAUCAAGAAAAUUAGAAGUGAUAAUGGCAAAGAGUUUGACAACACCAACAUUGAAGAGUAUUGUGAUGAAGUGGGAAUCAAGCAUGAGUUCUCCUCAACAUACACACCACAACAACAUGGGGUUGUAGAAAGAAAGAACCGGACAUUGAUCACCUUGGCAAGAACAAUGCUAGAUGAGUAUAACACUUCGGAGAAGAUGUGGGCCGAGGCAAUCAACACCGCAUGCUAUGCUUCAAAUCGGCUCUUUCCUCACAAGUUCCUAGAGAAGACACCAUAUGAGUUGCUCAAUGGGAAGAAGCCCGAUGUCUCAUUCUUUAGAGUGUUUGGGUGCAAGUGCUACAUCUACAAGAAGCGCCAACACUUGGGAAAGUUCCAAAGAAGAUGUGACAUUGGCUACUUGGUUGGCUAUUCAUCAAAGUCCAAAGCAUAUAGGGUCUUUAACCAUGCCACAAACAUAGUUGAAGAAACAUUUGAUGUUGAAUUUGAUGAAACUAAUGGCUCCCAAGGAGCAAGUGAAAAUCUUGAUGAUGUAGGUGGUGAACCAUUGAGGGAUGCCAUGAAGAACAUGCCCGUGGGAGACAUCAAGCCUAAAGAAGAUGAUGAUGAUGUGCAAGUCAUUGAGCCACCAUCCACCUCACAAGGUCCACAAGAUGAAGACAAGGAUGUGAGAGAUGCUCAUGAAGACACUCAAGUCACUCAUGAGCAAGCGGUGGCACAAGCACAAGAUGUUGAUGCUCCUCAAUCAACCCCUCAAGUGGCGCCAAGAAGAACAUCACAUCUCCUCCAAGAUCACUCUCAAGAUCUCAUCAUCGGGAGUCCAUCACGUGGUGUAACUACUCGUUCUAAACAUGCUUUAUUUAUUGAACAUCACGCUUUUGUGUCUCUUGAAGAUGAACCAAAGACCAUAGAGGAAGCUCUUCGUGAUGCAGAUUGGAUCAUGGCCAUGCAAGAGGAACAACUUCUCUCGCAACCAAGUAUGGACACUUGAAGAGCGACCCAAAGAUGCAAGAGUGAUUGGAACAAAAUGGGUCUUCCGGAACAAGAAGGAUGAUCAAGGCAAAGUGGUGCGCAACAAGGCAAGACUUGUGGCAAAAGGCUUUUCACAAGUGGAAGGUCUUGACUUCGGUGAAACCUUUGCACCGGUGGCAAGACUUGAAGCAAUCCGUAUCCUACUUGCAUAUGCAUCUAGUCAUGAUAUCAAGUUAUUUCAAAUGGAUGUGAAAAGUGCCUUUUUAAAUGGAUAUAUUAAUGAGCUUGUCUAUGUUGAGCAACCCCCCGGUUUUGAAGACCCUAGGUACCCCAAGCAUGUCUACCGGUUGUCCAAGGCUCUCUAUGGUCUCAAGUAAGCUCCUAGAGCUUGGUAUGAGAGGCUCAGGGACUUCCUCAUUGAGAAGGGUUUCAAGAUUGGGAAAGUUGACACAACACUCUUCACCAAGAAAAUGAAUGGGGAAAUCUUCAUUUGUCAAGUUUAUGUUGAUGAUAUUAUUUUUGGCUCUACUAAUGAAGAUUUUUACAAGGAAUUUGGUGAUUUGAUGUCCAAGGAGUUUGAAAUGUCCAUGAUUGGCGAGCUAUCCUUCUUCCUAGGAUUUCAAGUCAAGCAAAUGAAGGAAGGAGUCUUCAUCUCUCAAGAGAAGUACACUCAAGAUCUUCUCAAGAGGUUCAAGAUGAUGGAUUGCAAGCCAAUCAAGACUCCCAUGGCAUCAAAUGGGCAUCUCGACUUGGAUGAGGGAGGUAACCCAAUUGACAAGACUCUCUAUCGCUCCAUGAUAGGAAGUCUACUCUACCUCACUGCAUCUAGGCCCGAUAUCAUGUUUAUUGUGUGUAUGUGUGCAAGAUAUCAAGCAAUGCCUAUGGAAUCUCACUUGAUUGCGGUCAAGAGAAUUCUUAGGUAUCUAAAAUACACACCUUGCCUAGGCUUGUGGUACCCCAAAGGUGCAAGAUUCCAACUUGUAGGCUAUUCCGAUUUGGAUUAUGCCGGGUGCCGGAUUGAUAGAAAAAGUACAUCCGGAGGGUGCCACUUCCUAGGUAGAUCACUUGUCUCUUGGAUGUCAAAAAAACAAAAUAGUGUUGCCUUGUCAACGGCCGAGGCGGAAUACAUUGCCGCCGGUGCUUGUUGUGCACAAAUACUCUACAUGAAACAAACUUUGCUAGACUAUGAAGUAGUACUAGACAAAGUACCUUUGUUGUGUGACAACGAAAGUGCCGUAAAACUUGCAAACAACCCGGUUCAACACACCCGCACAAAACAUAUUGACAUCCGCCACCACUUCCUUAGGGAUCAUGUUGCUAAAGGUGACAUAUCUCUAGAGAAUGUGGGAACGGAAAAUCAAUUGGCAGAUAUCUUCACAAAACCUCUAGAUGAAGCUAGGUUUUGUAUGUUGAGAAAUGAACUUAAUGUGCUUGACCUCUCUAACUUCACUAAAAGAUAAAAAUUGUGUGUUGAAUCUUGUAAAUAACUUUUGCUUUGCAUAUCAUGCAUACUAAAACUAAAAUACAACUUGCAUAUAGGGCUUGUCUAACUGGUUAAGAUAACCCCCUUGUGUGUGUAAAUAAGCUUAACCUUGGAUCAAACCUGACAAGCAUUAGUUUACUUUCAAGUAUUGCAUUACAACUCAUAUCAUAUGCAUGCUUGUUAUUUGACCAUUUCUUUUCGGUUAUUCGUUGAGCAUCCGCUGUGUUCGUCCAUAGAUAGGGGGAGCAUUCAAAGCUCAGUGUGAUUCAAACCCCUAGCUUUAUGGCCAUAUGAUGCUCCUUGGUGAGUUUCUCGAACUAUUUUCAUAAAAACUACUAAGCCUAUGGCUAAAUACUUGUGAAAAUAUGAGGGUUUGAGAGAAGUCACUCAUACCAGUUCCAUUUGGUGUUUAUUUGUGUGCUUUUGAAGAUGGAACUUGGUUGGGUCAAAGUCGGGCACAGUGCUUCGUUGAAAAAGUGCUCAGAGGAGCACCGGACGAUGCACCGGACGCUGCCUCCGUGCGUCCGGUGCGGUGAGUGUGCCAGACUGCACUCACCGGACGCAGGCACAGUGUCCCUGCAGCGUCCGGUGAGGAGCGUCCGGUGCUAACCUGGCGUGCCCUGAAGCACCGGACGCUAAAGCCAGCGUCCGGUGCCCAUCGUCCGGUGCGAUGCCGAUUUGCAUACCUCUCUGCGCAUGAGUCCGGUGGUCACCGGACGCGUCCAGUGCCACAUAAAGAGCGUCCGGUGACCCCGCGAGCAGCGCAUAAAUCCCGAGCCUGGACUUUUUCGUGGGGGGUCUUCUCUUUCUUCUCUCUCGGAUCCGCCCGCAGUCAAGGCCGCGCCUGUGCCCUAAGUCACCGAGCUGCUGCCGCCGUUGUCUCUCCCAAGAUCUCCGGCGCCCUAGAGAUUCCCCCCCGCGCCAGAUCUGCUCAGGGAGCUCUUCCCUUCCUUCUCCUCGCACAGAGUUUCUCUCCUUGUGACGCAGUUAGGGUUUGGGUGAGUUCCUAAUCUCCUGUCCUUGAGGUAUUCGAUUCAAUGCUUGAACGGACUAGACAGUUGUUUCCGAUGAUGAUUUGAUUCGUUCCUUAUCUGCAGCACCUUGAGGAUUGGAUUCGUGUUCUCCGGAGGAUUCCGAUUGCAUUCUUUAAUCCGGAACGCGUCUCGUCGCCCGAUCGUAAGCAGUUUACGCUCGUUCCUUACCUACUCUUGCAAUCUAUAGGGUUUUCUCACCUCUAGUCGUUAUGGUUUCUUAUGUAUACCCUAUCUUGUCCUCUUUUCUGCAGCACGUUAAUCUCUAUUGUCAGUUGGUUGCUUGUCGGCCGUUUGAUCAGUCAGUAAUUCUUGCAAUGGCACGUUGCAAGAAUGUCAGUGGACCGGCAGCCAGCGCAGGAGGUUCCCCAGGGGGUGAUGGUGGAGGUGAUCCUCCCCGUCGCCUGUCAGCGGCAGAAAAGGGCAAGGGCAAGAAGCUGGCCACCAAGAAGCGCAAGGCCAGCGACCGAGAGGCAGAGGUGGCCGAGGCAGUGGUAGCAGCAGCAGAGGCAGCUGAGAGAGGUGGUCGUGCAGGUGCUUUGAGGAUUGGGGCAGAUCUCACGCCACGUUAGAGGCGUGCUGUACUUGAGGCCGAGGCUCGACAUGGAUCACCACCAGGCACCAUCAUGCUAGGAGGGCAGCGUGUCAGGAUCAACGUCAGAGAGCCAGCUCAGGAGGAUCCAGACACAGACAGAGAGGCAGAGGCCCAGGCAAAGGGUGUAGCAGAGGGACAGGAGCAGGAGCAGCCCCUCCGGAGGUCGACUCGCGCUCGUACCCAGGCCACUCCUCGAACUGGUACGCAGGGUCAGUCCACCUCCACUGCUCGUGCCACACCAGCCAGAGGCACUCCAGCUUCACGACAGAGGCCAGUCAGGAUCCACAGGGAUCUCACUCUUGUGUCAGCCAGAUCGAUCCAGCAGCACUCCAGCUUCACGACAGAGGCCAGUCAGGAUCCACAGGGAUCUCACUCUUGUGUCAGCCAGAUCGAUCCAGCAGCUGAGGUUCGUUCCGUUUCCCACCUGGUUUCCAGCUGCCAGGGAUCCCAGAGCCGGUGCCAGGUUCUACACAGUCGUCCAGGAGGACAUCUACGAGGCAUUGGUUCGCUCUCAGUUACAGUUUAGGGAGCACAGAGUGAUUGACCUUGAGAUACUGGGGAACGUGGUUGGAGCAGACAUCCGUCAGUACUUCACCUACCUCCACGGACUUCCAGAGUUGCUAGCUCUUCCUGGUACUUACUGUGAGCAGUGGGUCAGAGAGUUCUACGCGUCAGUGUGGGUUUCUCCAGAUCAUAGCUAUAUCCACUAUGCACUGGCGGGGACAGACUACAGAGUGACAGCACAGAGGGCCAGAGAGGUGCUAGGGUUGAGAGCCUACUCUACCAGGAUUCACCAGCUGUGCUACGAGAACGUUGAGCCUCCCCGAUGUCCUCACGGUGGUGAGAUACCACCAGUUGACUUCGUGGCUCCUUGUUUCCGUCCACCGUUUGGAGAGGGCUCCAGUAGGACAGUAGGAGACCUGACUCGACCAGCUAGGAUCCUUGACUUUGUAUUGAGAAGACUCUUCUCCCCAGGACAGGUUACAGAGACGGCUUCACUUGUAUCCAGCAGUGGCUCAUCGCUCACCUCAUUUCGCAGACACAGUUUGACUUGUGGGAUCUGAUCGUCUCAGAGAUAGAGGACACCAUCUUAGAGAGCUUCAGGGGCCGGCGUCAGUUGCCGUACGCACACUGGAUUACCCUACUGAUUCUUCGUGCCAGGCCACUACCCCUCCCAGCUCACUUGCAGAGGGAGUUUGUUGACGGUCCUUAAGUAUCAAAUUUAAUUAUCAAAUAAAUAAAGAAAAGGAUCCAAAUGAAAUCAACAUCUAGACUUAGGGUUUUAUCUGAUAGAAUUCCACGAGUUUUGGUGUUUGUCUAUUUUUGCAGGGGGUUAUCAGGAAAUAAGGAAGAAAGGCCCACAUGUCAGGAUUACAUAGAGAUAUCAACGCACCGCGCAAUUUUCUACCAUCUAGAAGACUCCAGAAGCCACGAGACCGAAGCGGAGGCAAAACGGGGCCAGGACCUGGGCGCCUGCCCAGUUUCCUUGGGCGCCCGCCCACCUGUCGAGCCCAAUCAGGACUCUUUCUCUCGGGAGAUCUCCACUGACCUAUUGGAUCCAGAAUAACAUAGUACCACAUUGCCUACUGACCCAAAAACGCAUAGAGGAGGAGGACUAUAUAAGGAGACCCCCUGGCCCCUGGAGAAGACAAGAAAUUAUCAUAGAGAUUGAGGGGUGCCCUCGAAGGAAAACCUCUUCUCUAAAUAAUAUUUCUUUUUAGGCUUAGCAUCCAAUGUAAAGUAGAAAUAGAUCUUCUAGUUUCUACUAGAUUGAGAGAGAUAGAGUGGAGGUGUGGAUCGGAGGAAGGCCGGCCUGUCGGUGUCUACUCCGAGUUGUACCUACGGGAUCAAGUCUCCUAACCCGAGGCUUGCUUCUAAGAUUCUUCAGUAAUUCGACUUCUAAUACUAGUAAGUUCUUGUUUUAUUGUUCUUUGGUUUAUGAGUUUACUUUAAUCCUCUUCCGGUUGAGUAUUAGAGUAAUCACUUGCUAGCAUAAACGUGGUGUUUAGGCUAGGGUACUCAUAGAUAUCCCCUGACUAGCUGGACCGUGGUAGUAGCGAGGAACGUGACAUUUCCGAGUUACCUUUGUAUUCCAUAUCUUGUUAGCAGGACGGGUAGGUUUAUAGGUGCGGGUCGAACAUCCUUUGUGUUGUCUAGAUUCCGUGAGCCUCCCCAAUAGAACAGUAGAUCAUCCUUACCAAGGUUAGAACGAGACUACGGUUGCAGUCUUCUCUAUACAUCGCUCACAUCGAGAAACAUUCUUUGUAGCCUAAAGGGAUAGUAGGAAUAGAUUUGGUUAGUCAGAUGCACCCUUUCUCCCAGUGGUAAAAAUAUAAAUACGAUACUCUGGAAAACCUCCCGGGUGAAAUGCUCACCGAUAUCCGUGCGCUUGCGGAUCAAUUCCUUAUUGCGUUACCAAAUAUCAACAAGCAUUUCUGGCGCCGUUGCCGGGGAGAAAGACGGUUUGCUGAGAUAACUUUGAAUCUUGCUAUUAUCUUGUAUUAUACUUUUAUACUUUUAUUCUUUUCUUUUUAUUUUUAUCUUUAUGGAUAACUCAAAUUCCAUACCUAUUAUUAAAUUCUUUGCACCUUCAGAGACCAGCCAUAGACCAUGGGCGUCAACACGUCCUGCCCCUAAUUAUGAUCUGUGUCCGGAGUUGAUUGCAAUAGGUCAAAACCAACCCUUUUCUAUAGCCGAGGUCCUAUCUUUUAAUCAAGAAGAUAAUGCACUUUUAGCUACACCUAGGGAAUCUGUUAAUCUUUCUAUAAAUUCUAGUUUAGACCUAGCCCUACAAGACCAAGUUUUUCCUAGAUAUUUUCAUAUUGGUCUUAAUCAUAUAACCUUUGGUAGAGUCCUUCUUUCUUUAUCUAUCAGUAAUGGAAGGUAUGUCUUCAUUUGUGGACAUCCUUCUUGCACUAAUAUUCAUAGAAAAAUCUUAGAGAUAAAGAAGGAAUCAUCUCCCAGACGAGGAAAGGAAGUUUCAAUAGCCGAUUUCCAAACAUUUCAAUCCCAUAAUUCGGCUAUCCAACCCAUCCUUGAGUUUAAUAAUUUCUACUAUGCUCUUUCUCUUGAACCUCCCGAGGAUAAGAUUAGCGUCCUUAAACAAGCACUUAUCAGAUCAUAACAUGAACUUCUAAUUAUUUGCAACAUUGCCUUGUGUAUUGAGCAUAAUGAGAUAAUUGUAGAAAUAUUCCUUCGGGUAUUCUUGCCACUAACCUUUCCAGGAUGGAGCAAGAAGAUCGGAUGAAUGACAAGCGCAAGGUAUGCCCAACCAAUCAACAUGCAACAUUGAAUUAAAUUCAUCCAAUCUUGAAUUUUGCAAAAAUUCAAGCUUGGGGGAGUACUUCACAUAAAAACAUCCUUUGCCAUGUUGCUAUGUUGGUUGUCCUUACCUUUGAGACAUGCUCAAUUUGUUAAAUACUAAUCACACUACUUCAUCUCCACUUAAGUAGAUCUUUAUAAGCCAUCAUGCUACCUUUGUUUAUCCUAGUAAGUGUUAGUUUGGAAGUACUGUACAUACUUCUAUUGGCUUUUAAAUUAAGCGUGGUUCUUAGGUUAAAUAGCCUUCCUUAAUCUGAUUAGACAUGGAGUCUAGUUUGGUUACUGAACUAAAAACUGCUUGAGUAGGCAUUGGUAUAUUUUGUCGGACUAACCCCUACAGGAAAACAUUCAAUAUGAACUUGGGAAGUCCUGAGAUAAACUCACAUUGGAGAUGAAGAAAGUGACACAUGAAGUUUAACAAUUUGCACAAGAAAGACGUAGCUCAUAAAGAGAUGAUCUAUGGAGGGUGCCACAAACACGAUACACAACCGCUAAGAAAAGGAGAGCUUCCACAAGGUGAUAUUGUACCAUCACUCUUAAAGUAAGGUAACAUCUUAAGGUACUUGACUAUCGCUUUUAUAAGCUUCUCCUUGGUUGUAGCAUUCACAUAAAUAAAGAGACAAACAUGUAUGAUUUAUAACUCCAAAUUAACCAACUUAAUUAAUUCAACAUGUUUAGUCCUUUAAUCUUUGUUCUUAGUAUUACCUUUGUGAUCCCACACUCCUAAUCAUAUAAGCUAAUAUGUUGCACAUUCAAUCUUUGGAAGAUAUAAACAAAACAUAAAUAUAGAUAGAUUAUCUUUCCAUUAGGUUGAGAUAUAUGAUCUGACAAAUGUUUCAAAUCCUACACUCAUGAUCCUAUCAACUUUGUCUUGCUCACUAUGCUUAAGGUUAGAGAAGAACAAAUACACUUUUGGUUCUGUUGGUGUUUUCCACCAACAGGGCCCAUGCACUUGAUCUUUGCCUUGUCUGUAUGAACAGGUACACUUCAAACAAAACAUGGAGGAGUUUUACAACUCCCAGAUUCCACCAAGUGAAGAACCGAGAUCUACGAGCACAAACACAAUGGAGAUCGGACACUUAGUUUCCCAAAGGAAAUAUUGAAGAACCUCUGUGUCCGAGUUGGUACCUUGUACGCUCCAGCAAACUUCGUGGUGAUAGAGACUGGUACUGAGGAGAGGGCACCCAUCAUCUUAGGGAGGCCAUUCCUAAACACCAGUGCUGUCAUCUACGUUAAUGCUGCCAAGAUCAGUUUCUACAUCAAGGGGAAGAAGGAGACUUUCCUUCAAGAACAAGACUACACAAAUUUCAGAGCAAUCCCGACAUGAACCAAGGAAGAGGACUAACAGGAGGAACAGGAACAAGCAAAUGUGGACCGAGUCAGCUAAGAUGGUCACUGCAGCUCAAGGAGGUCAAGAUCGUAGACUCAAGUCACCUUUCUUGAUCAAGAAGAACGACCCUGGUGUUCCAAGCAUCGAGUGCACAAUCAAUCGAUACUCUUCUUAGAAGACACUCUACGAUACCGGAUCAGACAUCAAUAUAAUGGCCGGAGUCACUUAUCAGAUCCUACAUGGAACCAUGCCCCUACAACCAAUAUAUAUUCAGCUCUAGAUGAUUUUCAGAUCAUUGACAUGGGAGAAGACGAGUAUGAUCCACCCACCAUCCUUGGAAGACCGUUCCUCAACACUGUUUACGGUCCUUAAGUAUCAAAUUUAAUUAUCAAAUAAACAAAGAAAAGGAUCCAAAUGAAAUCAACAUCUAGACUUAGGGUUUUAUCUGACAGAAUUCCACGAGUUUUGGUGUUUGUCUAUUUCUGUAGGGGGUUAUCAGGAAAUACGGAAGAAAGGCCCACAUGUCGGGAUUACAUAGAGAUAUCAACGCACCGCGCAAUUUUCUACCAUCUAGAAGACUCCAGAAGCCACGGGAAGAAGACGGAGGCCGAAAGGGGCUAGGCCCAGGGCGCCCGCCCUGGUGACCUGGGCGCCCGCCCCCUGCUGGAGUACUUUCAGGACUCUCUUUGCUCGGGAUGUUCCACCGACCUAUUGGAUCAAGGAAAACAUAGUACCACCUCGCCUACCGACCCAAAAACGCAUAGAGGAGGAGGACUAUAUAAGGAGACCCCCCUGGCCCCUGGAGAAGACAAGAAAUUAUCAUAGAGACUGAGGGGUGCCCUCGAAGGAAAACCUCUUCUCUAAUUAAUAUUUCUUUUUAGGCUUAGCAACCAAUGUAAGGUAGAAAUAGAUCUUCUAGUUUCUACUAGAUUGAGAGAGAUAGAGUGGAGGUGUAGAUUGGAGGAAGCCCGGCCUGUCGGUGUCUACUCCAAGCUUGUACCUACGGGAUCAAGUUCUCCUAACCCGAAGCUUGCUCCUAGGAUUCUUCAGUAUUUUGACUUCUAAAUUCUAGUAAGUUCUUGUUUUAUUGUUCUUAUGGUUUAUGAGUUUACUUUAAUCUCUUCGCGUAGAGUUUAGAGUAAUCAUUGCUGGCGCAAACGUGUUGUUUAGGCUGGGGUACUCAUAGAUAUUCCCUGACUAGCUGGACCGUGGUAGUAGUAAGGAACGUGACAAUUCUGAGUUACCUUUGCAGAUCACAUCUCGUUAGCAGGAAGGAUAGGGUUUAUAGGUGCGGGUUGAACAUUCUUUGUGGUGUCUAGAUUCCGUUAGCCUCCCCAUUAGAACAAUAGAUCAUCCUUACCAAGGUUAGAAGGAGACUACGGUUGCAGUCUUCUCUAUUUAUCACUCACAUCGAAAGACAUUCUUUGUGCCUAAAGGGAUAGUAGCAAUAGAUUUGGUUAGUCAGAUGCACCCUUUCUCCUAGUGGUAAAAAUAUAAAUACGAUACUCUGGAAAACCUCCCGGUUGAAAUGCUCACCGAUAUCCGUGCGCUUGCGGAUCAUUUCCUUAUUGUGUUACCAAAUAUCAACAAGCAUUUCUGGCGCCGUUGUUGGGGAGAAAGACGGUUUGCUGAGAUAACUUUGAGUCUUGCUAUUAUCUUGUAUUAUACUUUUAUACUUUUAUUCUUUUAUCUUUUUAUUUUUAUCUUUAUGGAUAACUCAAAUUCCAUACCUAUUAUUAAAUUCUUUGCACCUUCGGAGACCAGCCAUAGACCAUGGGAGUCAACACGUCCUGCCCCUAAUUAUGAUCUGUGUCCAGAGUUGAUUGCAAUAGGUCAAAACCAACCCUUUUCUAUAGCUGAGGUCCUAUCUUUUCAUCAAAAAGAUAAUGCACUUUUAGCUACACCUAGGGAAUCUUUUAAUCUUUCUAUAAAUUCUGGUUUAGACCUAGCCCUACAAGACCAUGUUUUUCCUAGAUAUUUUCACAUUGGUCUUAAUUAUAUAACCUUUGGUAGAGUCUUUCUUUCUUUAUCUAUAAAUAAAGGAAGGUAUGUCUUCAUUCGUAGACAUCCUUCUUGCACUAGUCUUCAUAGAAAAAUCUUAGAGAUAGAGAAGGAAUCAUCUCCCAUACAAGGAGAGGAAGUUUCAAUAGCCGAUUUCCAAACAUUUCAAUCCCAUGAUUCGGCUAUCCAACCCAUCCUUGAGCCUAAUAAUCUCCACUAUGCUCUUUCUCUUGAACCUCCCGAUAAUCCUAUGAAUCUCUCUAGACAUCCCAUGCAUAAGAAGGAGGAUCGAGAAGAGCAACAUCAAUGGCUAGAGGGCAUUAAAAAUUCAUGUGCUAUCACCACAUUUGAGAUCUCCAACCCUCUCUUCUUUUCUAUUUAUAAAAACUUUAAAAGAGCGGCUGUCGAUGCAUAUGUCUAUAAUAAAUAUUGCAGAUCUCGUCGAGUUAAUUGAUGGUUUCCCAAGGACAAGCUUACUGUCCUAAAAAGCACUUAUCAGAUCAUAACAUGAACUUCUAAUUAUUUGCAACAUUGCCUUGUGUAUUGAGCAUAUAAAGAUAAUUGUAGAAAUAUUCCUUCGGGUAUUCUUGUCACUAACCUUUCCAGGAUUGGAGCAAGAAGAUCGGAUGAAUGACAAGCACAGGGUAUGUCCAACCAACCAUCACACAACAUUGAAUUAAAUUCAUCCAAACUUGUAUUUUGUAAAAUUCAAGCUUGGGGGAGUACUUUACAUAAAAACAUCUUUUGCCAUGUUGCUACGUUGGUUGUCCUUACCUUUGAGACAUGCUCAAUUUGUUAAAUACUAAUUACACUACUUCAUCUCCACUUAAGUAGAUCUCUAUAAAUGCUCUCAUGCUACCUUUAUUUGCUUUAGUAUAUGUCUAGGUUUGGAAUAGUUUCAUUUAUCUCUUAAUUAAGCAUGGUGCUUAGUUUAGGAAUGAUGAUCUUACUUCCAAGGGAUUUUAAAUUAAGCAUGGUGCUUAGGUUAAAAUGCCCUUCUAAAUCAAAUUAGACAUGGUGUCUAGGUUGAUUUUUAAGCCGAUAGUAUGCUAUAGUAGAUAUGGGAUAUUUUGUUGGACUAACCCCUGCAGGAAAACUUUCAAUAUCCACCUGGGAAGUCCUGAGAUAAACUCGCAUUAGAGAUGAAGAAAGUGACACAUGAAGUUUAACAAUUUGCACAAGAAAGACGUGGCUCAUAAGAGAUGAUUCAUGGAGGGAGCCACAAACACGAUGCACAACCGCUAAGAAAGGAAAGCUUCCACAAGGUGAUACUGUACCGUCACUCUUCAAGUAAGGUAACACCUUAAGGUACUUGACUAUCGCUUUUAUAAGCUUCUCCUUGGUUCUAGCAUUCACAUAAAUAAAGAGACAAACAUGUAUGAUUUAUAACUCCAGAUUAACCAACUCAAUUAAUUCAACAUGUUUAGUCCUUUAAUCUUUGUUCUUAGUACUACCUUCGUGAUCCCACGCUCCUAAACAUAUAAGCUAAUAUGUUGCACAUUCAAUAUUUAGAAUAUAUAAACAAAACAUAAAUAUAGAUAGAUUAUCUUUCCAUUAGGUUGAGCCAUCUGAUCUGACAAAUGUUUCAAAUACUACACUCAUGAUCUUAUUAUCCAUCAACUUUGUCUUGCUCACUAUGCUUAAGGAUAGAGAAGAACAAAUACACUUUUGGUUCUGUUGGUGAUUUCCACCAACAGAGCCCAUGCACUUGAUCUCUGCCUUGUCUCUAUGAGCAGGACACAUUUUGAGAAACGUGAAGGCGUUUUACAACUCCCAGAUUCCAUUAAGUGAAGAACCGGGAUCUACGAGCACAAACACAAUGGAGAUCAGACACUUAGUUUCCUAAAGGAAAUAUUAAAGAACCUCUGUGUCCAAGUUGGUACCUUGUACGCUCCAGCAAACUUCGUGGUGAUAGAGACUGGUACUGAGGAGAGGGCACCCAUCAUCUUAGGGAGGCCAUUCCUAAACACCAGAGCUGUCAUCUACGCUAAUGCUGCCAAGAUCAGUCUCUACAUCAAGGGGAAGAAGGAGACUUUUCUUCAAGAACAAGACUACAUAAACUUCAGAGCAAUCCCGACAUGAACCAAGGAAGAGGACCAACAGGAGGAACAGGAACAAGCAAAUGUGGACCGAGUCAGCUAAGAUGGUCACUGCAGCUCAAGGAGGUCAAGAUCGUCGACUCAAGUCACCUUUCUUGAUCAAGAAGGACGACCCUGGUGUUCCAAUCAUCGAGUGCACAACCAACAGCUACUCUUUUUAGAAAACACUCUACGACACCGGAUCUAACGUCAACAUAAUGGCCGCAGUCACUUAUCAGCUCUUGCAUGGAACCAUGCCCCUACAACCAAUAUAUAUUUAGCUCCAGAUGAUUUUCAGAACAUUGACAUGGGAGAAGACGAGUACGAUCCACCCAUCAUCCUUGGAAGACCAUUCCUCAACACUAUCAAAGUUAUCAUCUACAUUGGAACCGGAGAAGUCCACGUGUAUUUCCCCUCUGAGAAGGUACGCCAUUACUUUAAUGAUUCUAACUAUAUAGUUGAAGAUUCUAAGCAGGUCAGGACAAGAAGAAGACAACGCAACCGCAACCAGAGGAGGCAAAUCAUCAAGGAUGGAUGGGCAGACUACGAAGGAGAAGUUGUAAGGUCAGAAGACGUUGAGUUUAAACAGAAUUAUCCAGAGGAGACCGAAGCACCAAGUCAGGUGUGGAAAAUGAAGAUAACUAUACAUGAAGAGGAGGCGCUGCCGGAAGUACCGACUACGCCACCCAACGAACCUCAGGAUAAUUGAGAAGGAGGAGAGUCCCGUUCGGAGGACUUAAAAACACCGAACGCCUUGCCAAGAGGUAAACUUGGUAGUUAUCCUUUCCCUUUCAAUUAUUUCAAGUAGUUCACUUAGUUAAUUAAGUUCUAAACAGAAAGUAAAAAUGUGAAAAACAGUAAACCCCAUGUGAGGAUACGAGUGGCAUAAAACCCAUAAGUACAUUCACUGUGGUGGCAUAAAAAUAAAAUAAAAAUAUUUUUCUGCUUUAUAAAAUAAAAAUAUAAAAACAGGGAGUAAUAAUUAUUAAGGAGUCUCAACAUGAUAAAGGCUAGAUAUUUAUGCUAACACUUAAUCAGUUCCACAAGCUUUGUUGUCUAUUUGAGCUCCACAGAAUCUAAGAAUCAAGAAGACUGGCAGACGGAGGAUAUUCUAAUCGCUGUCACAAUGCUGCUGACUUUCAAAUACACCUCUGCCACCUGCUAGCUACAUCAAGAGAAAUUACGUCAAAAUUCAGCUUGGGGGAGAGCACCCCCAUUUAUCUUGAUAAGUAUUUCUAUCUAUCUAUCUUUAUACUUAUAUUAUUUUUAGAAUAUAAAUAUACAUAACUAUGAAAAACCAAAUAAAGAUUUUAUGCUUAUACAUAUAUGUCUUUUGCUUAGUGUGUUUAAUAAAUAAAUAAAGUGGCUAUGCUAAUCUGUAUCUAAAUAAAACUCAAGCAUGGAAAUGAUGAAUAGUCGCUCUGCCUAAUUUGCACAUUUUAAGUUCUCUCUCAAGUUUAGACAUAACUGUUAUAAUUUAAAGCUUGCUCUAGACCUAAACUUGUGGGAUGAAAACUUGAUCUGAAAUCUAAGUUGUUAACGGAUACGAUAUGGGUAGGUUGAGCUGCUGUUUAUCUGUUUCUAGAGAUGCUAGAAUUCUAGAGAAUUUUAUCUUUGGAAAUCUUUAAAAUGUUGCAUGAUGAGUUCCUGUAUGAUGAGAGUUUAAAUUCCUACCACAGCCAUAUAUACAUGCUUGCUAGACUUCGAGCCACACAUUUACUUUUUACUGCUUAUGAGCAUUGAGUGUGGUCAAGCUGUGUAGACCCUUGGGAGCUUGUCAUGUGGUUCAAUCAAGAUUCACUUGCACGUUCACUCACACAUGGUACUUCUACUCCGGAAGUACCAUCCACAUAUAUCCAUACAUUUCCAUCUCCAGAAUCACCCAAAAAUAUUCUACUCCUAAUCCGGGAGAGAAUAGCCAAAAAUAAUUUUGUUCUUCCUUGUGAAAUAAAUGCUCAAGUUAUCUUGUUACUACCACUUGCUAUAUUAUCUCAAGAGAUGAGUGCUCUAAAAAAAAGAGAAAAAAAAGAAAAAUACGAGGAAAUAAAAAGGAGCAAGUGCUCGGAACCUCGAAAGAAAAGAAAAAGUGAGACGAGAGGUAAAAAUGGACAAGUGUCCGACAGUAGAAUUAGGGGUACAAGAUACCCACCUGAGAGAAAAGAAAAAUAUAGAGCAUCUCAAUCUCUUCAUAAAGUUUCAAAAAGCAAGGAAGGUAUGUAUCCCCUCAAAAGAAGUAGAAUUAGACUUCCACCACCAUUGUUACCAUCAUCACCAUACGCCAUUCAUUCGCCACACAUGCACAUCUUGAUUUGGCUUAUUGAUUUGUUUCUCUGGAUCCAUGGUUUGACUAUGCAAUAAAUGUCUUGUAAGUAUGCAUUAGCUGUCUCCCACCUAUGAGCUCUAGAUAUCAAGCCUUAUUAGAGUAGGGUGAGAGAGAAGGCAAUGUCACUAUGCCUUAUACCAUAAAUACCACAUAUCUUGAGAGAAGGCAUAAACCAUCAAUGCCUUGGUAAGGAUCCAGAAAUACCACAAAAGAGAGAUAUGAGAGAGUCAUACAAGGAAUCUCUGAGUUUUAUUUGAAAAUCUGCAAAAAAAAAACCAAAGCUAUAGCUGAUCAAGAAUAAGAGACAUGGCACUUGGCUAGACUGUUCUAUCUUUUAACCUCUCAAGACAAAAGUGACGGUUACAAGUCCCAUGGUGAAGGUAAAGUAAGUUUUAAGUCUUGACAGUUUACUCUAACUCAGAGAUGAGAUCUUAUUUAAAAAGCAUGUGUACCGUCAAUUUUUAAAGAUAUUGCAACAACUUCUAAUCCAUUGCUGAGUCUAUCCUUGCUCAGGGACGAGCAAGAGGUAAGCUUGGGGGAGUUUUUUGAUGGUCCUUAAGUAUCAAAUUUAAUUAUCAAAUAAACAAAGAAAAGGAUCCAAAUGAAAUCAACAUCUAGACUUAGGGUUUUAUCUGACAGAAUUCCACGAGUUUUGGUGUUUGUCUAUUUCUGUAGGGGGUUAUCAGGAAAUACGGAAGAAAGGCCCACAUGUCAGGAUUACAUAGAGAUAUCAACGCACCGUGCAAUUUUCUACCAUCUAGAAGACUCCAGAAGCCACGGGAAGAAGACGGAGGCCGAAAGGGGCCAGGCCCAGGGCGCCCGCCCUGGUGACCUGGGCGCCCGCCCCCUGCUGGAGUGCUUUCAGGACACUCUUCGCUCGGGAUGUUCCACCGACCUAUUGGAUCAAGGAAAACAUAUUACCACCUCGCCUACCGACCCAAAAACGCAUAGAGGAGGAGGACUAUAUAAGGAGAGCCCCCUGGCCCCUGGAGAAGACAAGAAAUUAUCAUAGAGACUGAGGGGUGCCCUCGAAGGAAAACCUCUUCUCUAAUUAAUAUUUCUUUUUAGGCUUAGCAACCAAUGUAAGGUAGAAAUAGAUCUUCUAGUUUCUACUAGAUUGAGAGAGAUAGAGUGGAGGUGUAGAUUGGAGGAAGC